CGGUAAGAUGAGGCAACUCACACAGCUCCAAUCAUUAACACUGUUGGAAUGCAGAAGUAUGACAUCGCUGCCAGAAUGGUUAGGAGAACUCACCUCUCUCAGUAAACUUGAAAUUGUGUGCUGCCCUGGCAUCACGACUUUGCCACACAGCAUACAACAGCUCACAAACCUCCAACAAUUGGAAAUUCGUGACUGCCAUUGAUUAAGCAUGUGGUGUGAAGCAGAGGAAAACAAGAUCAAGCUUGCUCAUAUAGGAGAAAUGCGUACUGAAGAUAAAGCCACUCCGAGAGAGCCAGGGGAGCAAGCAGAGCCAGCAGAGCCGCAACAUAGUGGCCGUUUGAGAUUCUGAGCUGUCAGUAGCAACGCCCAAUGUUAGCGAAACCGUUAGUAGCUUCAGCAGGAUUUCUAGAAAGCAUGGGUCUUCUCGCGUAUAUGUAUGUAUAUGAAUAUAAUACUGCUCGGUGAAAAUACAAGUGCAGCAGAAGUCGACAGUCCUGCAUCCGCAUUUCAACUGGAGCUACAGGUUAUGUAUGUAUAUGGGAGACUGCUGUGUUCUGCAUGAAUUCAAAGUGCCGGGAUUUUUGUAUAUUACCUUUGGCAGUAAAGAUUCUUGUACUAUGUUAUCUACUGCCCUUAACAAAGAUAAAGAUAACGCAUUCUUAGAAAUAGCGCUUGUUAUUUCGUUACUAGUUCUGGGGUCAUAGUGCUAGCUGUUUGUCUGCUGGAUUGCUUGAAUGAAAUGUAUUUUCACUUAUUUUAUU